CUCAGAACACAGAUAAAGAAACUUGAAUCACGGCUCAGUACCACAGAGUGCGUGGAUGCCGGGGGCGAAUCUCACGCCAACAACACCAAGUGGAAAAAAGAUGCAUGCACCAUUUGUGAAUGCAAAGACGGGCAGGUCACCUGCUUCGUGGAAGCUUGCCCCCCUGCCACCUGUGCUGUCCCCGUGAACAUCCCAGGGGCCUGCUGUCCAGUCUGCUUACAGAAGAGGGCGGAGGAAAAGCCCUAGGCUCCUGGGAGGCUCCUCAGAGUUUGUCUGCUGUGCCAUCGUGAGAUCGGGUGGCCGAUGGCAGGGAGCUGCGGACUGCAGACCAGGAAACACCCAGAACUCGUGACAUUUCAUGACAACGUCCAGCUGGUGCUGUUACAGAAGGCAGUGCAGGAGGCUUCCAACCAGAGCAUCUGCGGAGAAGGAGGCACAGCAGGUGCCUGAAGGGAAGCAGGCAGGAGUCCUAGCUUCACGUUAGACUUCUCAGGUUUUUAUUUAAUUCUUUUAAAAUGAAAAAUUGGUGCUACUAUUAAAUUGCACAGUUGAAUCAUUUAGGCGCCUAAAUUGAUUUUGCCUCCCAACACCAUUUCUUUUUAAAUAAAGCAGGAUACCUCUAUAUGUCAGCCUUGCCUUGUUCAGAUGCCAGGAGCCGGCAGACCUGUCACCCGCAGGUGGGGUGAGUCUUGGAGCUGCCAGAGGGGCUCACCGAAAUCGGGGUUCCAUCACAAGCUAUGUUUAAAAAGAAAAUUGGUGUUUGGCAAACGGAACAGAACCUUUGAUGAGAGCGUUCACAGGGACACUGUCUGGGGGUGCAGUGCAAGCCCCCGGCCUCUUCCCUGGGAACCUCUGAACUCCUCCUUCCUCUGGGCUCUCUGUAACAUUUCACCACACGUCAGCAUCUAAUCCCAAGACAAACAUUCCCGCUGCUCGAAGCAGCUGUAUAGCCUGUGACUCUCCGUGUGUCAGCUCCUUCCACACCUGAUUAGAACAUUCAUAAGCCACAUUUAGAAACAGGUUUGCUUUCAGCUGUCACUUGCACACAUACUGCCUAGUUGUGAACCAAAUGUGAAAAAACCUCCUUCAUCCCAUUGUGUAUCUGAUACCUGCCGAGGGCCAAGGGUGUGUGUUGACAACGCCGCUCCCAGCCGGCCCUGGUUGCGUCCACGUCCUGAACAAGAGCCGCUUCCGGAUGGCUCUUCCCAAGGGAGGAGGAGCUCAAGUGUCGGGAACUGUCUAACUUCAGGUUGUGUGAGUGCGUU
rnacentral:lncRNA from 1 species